rnacentral:rRNA from 1 species
GAGUCGGACAUUGCACAGAGAUCCCAGGACCUGAAGAGCAAGGAUGAUGGCAUAGCGAAGCUGGAGAAGGACAUUGGGGAGAAGUCACAGAAGAUUGCUACUCUGCAGAGUGAGAUCACAUCUCUCCAGAAAAAAGGUUCUGUGGCUGCUGAGGAGCAGGCAGGCAAGGCCAUUGCUCGGGUUGUUGAGCUUGAGGAGCAGAUUGAGAAGCUCAAUAAGGAAAUCGAAGCACAAAGUAGCCAGAGAACAACACUUGAAGCUAGAGCUAACAAGGCUGAGAAGAAGGUGCAAGAUUUGAACUCGAAGCUUGAGUCACUUCAAAAGGCAAAUGGCGAGCAAAAGCGUAUGAUCCAGAAAACGGAGCGUGCUCUUAAAGUUGCUGAGGAGGAAUUGAUGAGGCUGCAAUUAGAAGCAACAACGAAGGCAAAACAGCUGACAGAGGUACAUGGAGCAUGGCUGCCACCUUGGUUGGUGACACAUUCUGCCCAAUAUUUGGAGGUGGUCUCAGGUCACUGGAAUGAGCAUGGAAAACCUGCCAUGGACAUCUUUUUGCAGAAGGCAUCAGAAAAAUCAGCACACGCAAAGAAAUGGGCUGAACCACAUAUCGAGACCGCGAAGCUGAAAUUGGUUCCUGUUAAGGAGAAACUGGCUGUGCUAAAGAAAAACGCAGAACCUUACGUGGAGAAGGCGUCGGCAAAAUCAGUGGAAGUUUAUGAAGCAUCCAGGGAUGCUAUUACACCCCACUUUGUAAAAUUUAAAGAAGUUUCUGAUCCCUACUUCCAGGAAGCUAAGAAGAUCUCUAAACCUUACAUUGAUCAAGUUGCUGAGGUCACGAAGCCACAUGUUGAGAAAGUUAGGAGUACUCUUAAGCCUUAUACUAAAAGAGCAGUUCAUGUGUAUGGAACAUUUCUCGAGUCUGCGACUACAUACCAUCGACAGGCUCAAGCAACCAUUUCAGAUUACUUGCACCAACAUGAAAUAACAAAAUCACUUGUGACUAAGGAGUUGGUUUGGUUCCUGGCUUCUGCUUUGCUGGCUCUACCUGUGUUUAUUAUGUACAGGCUUCUAGUAGAAACCUUCUGGUACAUGAAGAAGCAGAAGAGAUCGCCUCGUAAUGGUAACGGAAACAAUGGCAAUAGGAGACACAAGCGCCGACAUGCUGAGAAGUAA